GGGGAAAGUAGCCGCCCUUCUCUCUAUUCCUUACUAUCACCACUAUCAGCCGAACUUGGAGGGAACAACGAACGUCUAUUGAUGAAAGGUCAAGGACCUGAGAACAUCGAGCUUGGAUAGAUUACAUCCAAGACGCUCUAAUCUGUCACAAGCGCCAUGUAAUCUUGUCCGAUGAAGACUUCUUCAACUUGAUGUAGCUCAAAUCUGAUACUUUCAUUUGAAGAUUGAGCUCGCAAAGAGCUAAUACCACUGUCUAAAUGGCUCCGAUUUAGAUCCACGGUCAUCGGUUGAGGUGAUUCAUUGGAUUGCUCACAAUAGGGCAGGGCUAACAAUCCUUGUUGCUCAGAGAACUUAGUACCAUCAGCACAUUCAAUCUGUAAAGGGCUGGGAAAUACCUCU